GAGCUGCUGAGAUCACAGGCGCAUAUCACCACACCUGGCUAGUUUUUUAAAUUUAUUUUUUGUAGAGACGGGGUCUUGCUAUGUGACCCAGGCUGGUCUCGAAUUCCUGAGCUCAAGUGAUCCUCCUGCCUCAGCCUCUUAAAGUGCUAGGAUUACAGGCAUAAGCCAUGCACCCCUACUUCUUUAGUGGGAGUCUGUGCCACAGCUGUGGCACACAGGUGUCCCUAGUUAUUAAAUUAGACUUUGUGGUAUUUUCCCCAUCAGGAUGUUCACACUUCCAUGUGGCUAAAGCUAUUGAUCUUUUCUGUUCUGGCUCCUGAGCUGAGAUUUUCUUAAACUCUUUCUGGAUGAAAUCUUUAUUUCAGGAUCGUCAGGCUGGUGGCGUCCACGGCCUCAACUUUACCUCCGUGAUGGAAGAGGGGGAUCUGAGGCUCCCAGCUGUGUGAGGCUGCCUGGCCUUGUCCCUUCUUCCUCAGUUCACAGAAAGGACGGCAGAGACCAAGAGUUGGCAAACUUUUCCCAAGAGCUACAUCGUAAACAGCUUCCAAAGCAGGACACACCGUCAGCUCUGUAGUUGGCCAUUGCAGCACGAAAGCAGCUACGGACAAUGUGGAAACAAAUGGGCCUGGCCCAAUAAAACUUUAUUUAUGAACACUAAAAUUGGCAUUUCAUAUAAUUUUCAUAUGUUGCAAAAUAUUAUUAUCGUAUUGGCUUUUCCCCAAACAUGUAAAAAUGUAAAACCAUUCUUGGCUUGCAGGUUGCGUGAGAACAGGAGGCAGGCCAGCUCCGGUCUGAAGCUGUGGUUUGCCCACCCCUGGCACAGACCCAUGAGGCCUUCCUAGAGCCGCCGUGCCCGUCCUGGCUGAUGGGACCUCCUACCUCAGGGGCUCUGAGUCCAGCUGCCAGGAAGCUCAUCUUAGUGACCCCACAGCCCCUGCUCACCCACCUGGUGUCACUGGGGCUGAGAGUGAAACCUGCAGGCAUAACUGGCCCUGAUGGAUACACAGUAAGCGUAGAUGUGUUUGGGAUGAGGAAGAUGGGGGGUCCACAGCAAUGACCCCCCGUACUCCCUUCUGUCCUGGGAGGAGGUUCCUGGUGCUGGAAGACAGGAAGGCACAGGCUGGGAAUAUCCAGAACCUGGUGAAGGCCACCCAUCUGCAGAGGAGGGUCUGGGGCAGGUCCUUCGGAGGCUCCUCUUCCCUCUGUACCCUCCACCAUGUGCUGCUGCCAGGGUCCCCUCCCAAAGGGCAAAAGCCUUCCAGGUCAUAGACUCUGCUGCCCUGUCUAGAAAUUCCCACCUCAGCCUCUUCUCUUCCACCUUCCCUGCACCCCAGUCACACGAAUCCCACCAAAGCCUUGACCUCCGGGCCCCCAGCUUCCAUCCCACCUCUGGGUGCCUGGUUUCCCUCUGAUCCAUUUUUUGCUUCAGAAAGUCAGAGUUGUUUUCUGCUGCCUGCCACCCAGAAGGCUGAACAGCUGUAGGAAGCUCUCAGAAGUGGAGCACUAUUUACCUUUAACAUUCUGCCCUUGACAUUGGGGCCUAAG
rnacentral:lncRNA from 1 species